CCUACGGGUGGCUGCAGUGAGGAAUAUUGGUCAAUGGCCGAGAGGCUGAACCAGCCAAGUCGCGUGAGGGAAGACGGCCCUACGGGUUGUAAACCUCUUUUGUCGGGGAGCAAAGAGAGUCACGUGUGACUCAUUGAGAGUACCCGAAGAAAAGCAUCGGCUAACUCCGUGCCAGCAGCCGCGGUAAUACGGAGGAUGCGAGCGUUAUCCGGAUUUAUUGGGUUUAAAGGGUGCGUAGGCUGUGAGGUAAGUCAGUUGUGAAAGUUUGCGGCUCAACCGUAAAAUUGCAAUUGAUACUGGCAGUCUUGAGUACAGUUGAGGUAGGCGGAAUUCGUGGUGUAGCGGUGAAAUGCUUAGAUAUCACGAAGAACUCCGAUUGCGAAGGCAGCUUACUAAACUGCCACUGACAUUGAUGCUCGAAAGUGUGGGUAUCAAACAGGAUUAGAUACCCUUGUAGUC
rnacentral:rRNA from 1 species